AGUCCAAUAGCUCAGUUGGUAGAGCACUUAAUCUUAAGGUUGUGAGUUUGAGCCUCACAUUGGGCAA